AGCGAACGCUGGCGGCAGGCCUAACACAUGCAAGUCGAACGGACCCUUCGGGUUAGUGGCGGACGGGUGAGUAACACGUGGGAACGUGCCUUUAGGUUCGGAAUAGCUCCUGGAAACGGGUGGUAAUGCCGAAUGUGCCCUUCGGGGGAAAGAUUUAUCGCCUUUAGAGCGGCCCGCGUCUGAUUAGCUAGUUGGUGAGGUAACGGCUCACCAAGGCGACGAUCAGUAGCUGGUCUGAGAGGAUGACCAGCCACACUGGGACUGAGACACGGCCCAGACUCCUACGGGAGGCAGCAGUGGGGAAUCUUGCGCAAUGGGCGAAAGCCUGACGCAGCCAUGCCGCGUGAAUGAUGAAGGUCUUAGGAUUGUAAAAUUCUUUCACCGGGGACGAUAAUGACGGUACCCGGAGAAGAAGCCCCGGCUAACUUCGUGCC
rnacentral:rRNA from 1 species